AGGGAAAUAUAGUACCGAAGUUCUUGAUUCCACACUGCCAAGAAAAGCCUCUAGCGAGGCGGGAGGUGCCCGUACCGCAAACCGACACAGGUAGGCGAGGAGAGAAUCCUAAGGUGAUCGAGAGAACUCUCGUUAAGGAACUCGGCAAAAUGACCCCGUAACUUCGGGAGAAGGGGUGCUCUGGUAGGGUGUAUAGCCCGAGAGAGCCGCAGUGAAUAGGCCCAGGCGACUGUUUAGCAAAAACACAGGUCUCUGCGAAGCCGCAAGGCGAAGUAUAGGGGCUGACGCCUGCCCGGUGCUGGAAGGUUAAGAGGAGGGGUUAUCCUUUGGGAGAAGCUCUGAAUCGAAGCCCCAGUAAACGGCGGCCGUAACUAUAACGGUCCUAAGGUAGCGAAAUUCCUUGUCGGGUAAGUUCCGACCCGCACGAAAGGCGUAACGAUCUGGGCACUGUCUCAACGAGAGACUCGGUGAAAUUAUAGUACCUGUGAAGAUGCAGGUUACCCGCGACAGGACGGAAAGACCCCGUGGAGCUUUACUGUAGCCUGAUAUUGAAUUUUGGUACAGCUUGUACAGGAUAGGUAGGAGCCUGAGAAGCCGGAGCGCUAGCUUCGGUGGAGGCGUCGGUGGGAUACUACCCUGGUUGUAUUGAAAUUCUAACCCGCAGCCCUGAUCGGGCUGGGAGACAGUGUCAGGUGGGCAGUUUGACUGGGGCGGUCGCCUCCUAAAGAGUAACGGAGGCGCCCAAAGGUUCCCUCAGAAUGGUUGGAAAUCAUUCGUAGAGUGUAAAGGCACAAGGGAGCUUGACUGCGAGACCUACAAGUCGAGCAGGGACGAAAGUCGGGCUUAGUGAUCCGGUGGUUCCGCAUGGAAGGGCCAUCGCUCAACGGAUAAAAGCUACCCCGGGGAUAACAGGCUUAUCUCCCCCAAGAGUCCACAUCGACGGGGAGGUUUGGCACCUCGAUGUCGGCUCAUCGCAUCCUGGGGCUGUAGUCGGUCCCAAGGGUUGGGCUGUUCGCCCAUUAAAGCGGUACGCGAGCUGGGUUCAGAACGUCGUGAGACAGUUCGGUCCCUAUCCGUCGUGGGCGUAGGAAAUUUGAGAGGAGCUGUCCUUAGUACGAGAGGACCGGGAUGGACACACCGCUGGUGUACCAGUUGUCUUGCCAAAGGCAUCGCUGGGUAGCUAUGUGUGGACGGGAUAAGUGCUGAAAGCAUCUAAGCAUGAAGCCCCCCUCAAGAUGAGAUUUCCCAUAGCGCAAGCUAGUAAGAUCCCUGAAAGAUGAUCAGGUUGAUAGGUCAGAGGUGGAAGCACGGCGACGUGUGUAGCUGACUGAUACUAAUCGAUCGAGGACUUAACCAA
rnacentral:rRNA from 1 species